rnacentral:rRNA from 1 species
UCAGGGUUUGAUUUCGGAGAAGGAGCCUGAGAGACGGCUACUACAUCUAAGGAAGGCAGCAGGCGCGCAAAUUUCCCACUAUUCAUAGAAUGAGGAAGUGACGAUCAAUAACAAUGUGUGUUUCAUUAGAAAUAUGCAAUUGGAAUGACUACAAUUUAAAGAGUUUAAGGAGGAUCAAUUGGAGGGCAAGUCUGGUGCCAGCAGCCGCGGUAAUUCCAGCUCCAAUAGGAUAUAUCAAAGUUGUUGCAGUUGAAAAGCUCGUAGUUGAAUUUUUGGUGGGUAGAUGUUUGUUUUUCUUGUUGUUAAGAUAAUAAAAAUGAACCGCCCGCCACAUUGUGGAAUUCUUCUUUGUUUCGUUGGUUUACUCUAAUUGAAUAAAGAACCACUCCGUCACUGAGAGCAAAUUGGAGUGCUCAAAGCAGGCUUUAUAGCUUUGAACAUAUUAGCUUGGAAUGACAAUUUAGGACUUGACGUUCAUUUUGUUGGUUAUUGAGAUGUUAGUAAUGUUUAAUAGGAACAGUUGCGGGGGUACUCGUACUGGAAAGUCAGAGGUGAAAUUCUUGGAUUUUUCCACGACGAACGACUGCGAAAGCAUUUACCAAGGAUGUUUUCAUUAAUCAAGAUCGAAAGUGCGAGGAUCGAAGAUGAUUAGAUACCAUCGUAGUUCGCACCUUAAACGAUGCCGACUCGGGAUUAUCUUGUUUAUUUAAAUAAAAUAUAAUACAUGAUAGUACCGUAUGAGAAAUCAAAGUCUUUGGGUUCCGGGGGGAGUAUGGUCGCAAGGUUGAAACUUAAAGGAAUUGACGGAACGACACACCAGAGGUGGAGCCUGCGGUUUAAUUUGACCCAACACGGGGAAACUUACCAGGUCCAGACAUGAUGAGGAUUGACAGUUUGAAAGCACUUUCCUGAUUUCAUGGGUGGUGGUGCAUGGCCGUUCUUAGUUGGUGGAGUGAUUUGUCUGGUUGAUUCCGAUAACGAACGAGACGCUCAAAGUUAACUAGUUUUAGGUAAUUUACAUUAUUUAAAACUUCUUCACUUGACAACUUGGUUUGACCAAGAGGAAGCCGAGCGCAAUAACAGGUCUGUGAUGCCCUUCGAUGUUCUGGGCUACACGCGCGCUACAAUGACGAUUUCAACGAGUUUAUUUAACCUUAUCUGGAAAGAUAUUUGGGUAAUCUUUGAAAUAUUCGUCGUGAUGGGGCUAGAUUUUUGCAAUUAUUAAUCUUCAACGAGGAAUCUCUAGUAUGUGCAAGUCAUCAGCUUGCGCAGAAUGCGUCCCUGUCGUUUGUACACACCGCCCGUCGCAGCUAUCGAUUGGACGAUCCGGCAAGAAGUUUGGAAUUGUUUAGUUUGAUCAUUUCGGUGAUUUUAUUAGAUGAUGAAGUUCUUCAAACCUUAUCGUCUAGAGAAAGCUGAAGUCGUAACAAGGUU